rnacentral:rRNA from 1 species
UUCUACAGCCAUGCCACCUUGAACAAGCCUGAUAUCAUCUGAUUUCAGAAGCUCAGCAAGUUCAGGCCUGGUUAGUAGACCAGGUGCUGUAGGCA